GACGAACGCUGGCGGCGUGCCUAAUACAUGCAAGUCGAACGCAGUGGGGACGGGUGAGUAACCCGUGGGUAACCUCCCAUCAGAGGGGAUAACACUUGGAAACAGGUGCUAAACCGAUACUGAUGGAUGAACCCGCGGUGCAUUAGCUAGUUGGUGGGGUAACGGCUCACCAAGGCCACGAUGCAUAGCCGGCCGGAGAGGAUGAUCAGCCACACUGGAACGGAGACACGGCCCAGACUCCUACGGGAGGCAGCAGUAGGGAAUCUUGGGCAAUGGACGAAAGCCUGACCCAGCAACGCCGCGUGAGUGAAGAAGGUUUUCGGAUCGUAAAACUCUGUUGUUAGAGAAGCGGUAUCUAAACAGAAAGCCACGGCUAACUACGUGCCAGCAGCCGCGGUAAUAC
rnacentral:rRNA from 1 species